UACGUAGGGUCCGAGCGUUGUCCGGAAUUACUGGGCGUAAAGAGCUCGUAGGUGGUUUGUCGCGUUGUUCGUGAAAACUCACAGCUCAACUGUGGGCGUGCGGGCGAUACGGGCAGACUAGAGUACUGCAGGGGAGACUGGAAUUCCUGGUGUAGCGGUGGAAAUGCGCAGAUAUCAGGAGGAACACCGGUGGCGAAGGCGGGUCUCUGGGCCGAUAUUGACGCUGAGGAGCGAAAGCGUGGGGAGCGAACAGG
rnacentral:rRNA from 1 species